rnacentral:piRNA from 1 species
CAUCGACCUGGUAUUGCAGUACUU